GGCGCUGCGACUGCCAUUCGUUGUUUCUCUCUUUCCUUUCCUCCCUCUCCUUUUCUUCAUUUGCAUUAUGCCACGCAGAGUGGAGA